UACAGGGGUCUCGAGCGUUAAUCGGAAUCACUGGGCUUAAAGGGAGCGUAGGCUGGCCAGCAAGUGCCUUGUGAAAGCCCCCGGCUCAACCGGGGAACUGCGUCUGAUACUGGAUGGCUUGAGUUCGGGAGAGGGAUGCGGAAUUCCAGGUGUAGCGGUGAAAUGCGUAGAUAUCUGGAGGAACACCGGUGGCGAAGGCGGCAUCCUGGACCGACACUGACGCUGAGGAGCGAAAGCCAGGGGAGCAAACGGG
rnacentral:rRNA from 1 species